rnacentral:rRNA from 1 species
GACAGAGGGUGCGAACGUUGCUCGGAAUGACUGGGCGUAAAGCGCGUGUAGGCGGUCCCGCCAGUCCGGUGUGAAAGCCCAGGGCUCAACCCUGGAACGGCGCUGGAUACUACGGGGCUGGAGUACUGGAGAGGAGAGCGGAAUUCCCGGUGUAGAGGUGAAAUUCGUAGAUAUCGGGAGGAACACCUGCGGCGAAGGCGGGUUGCUGGGCCGACACUGACGCUGAGGCGCGAAAGCUAGGGGAGCAAAUAGGG